rnacentral:rRNA from 1 species
CUCGUAGGCGGCCAACUAAGUCAGACGUGAAAUCCCUCGGCUUAACCGGGGAACUGCGUCUGAUACUGGAUGGCUCGAGAUUGGGAGAGGGAUGCGGAAUUCCAGGUGUAGCGGUGAAAUGCGUAGAUAUCUGGAGGAACACCGGUGGCGAAGGCGGCAUCCUGGACCAACACUGACGCUGAGGAGCGAAAGCCAGGGAGCGAAC